UGCAUGAUACUAUUAACUUGUAGUUAUUUAAUAACUACAAGUCUUUUAUAUUCAUGAACAUAAUACUCCUGGAUGACGUCUUAACCCGACGUCAUCCUCUUUUUU
rfam:Staphylococcus sp. HMSC078E07 Staphylococcus_spHMPREF2905-1.0_Cont149.2, whole genome shotgun sequence.